rnacentral:rRNA from 1 species
CGUUCAGGCGGUUUGGCAAGUCGGGCAUGAAAUCUCUCGGCUCAACCGGGAGAGGUUGUCCGAUACUGUUAGACUGGAGGGCAGUAGAGGGUGGUGGAAUUCCGGGUGUAGUGGUGAAAUGCGUAGAGAUCCGGAGGAACACCAGUGGCGAAAGCGGCCACCUGGACUGCACCUGACGCUGAAACGCGAAAGCUAGGGGAGCGAACG